GACGAACGCUGGCGGCGUGCUUAACACAUGCAAGUCGAACGAUGAAGCCUAGCUUGCUAGGUGGAUUAGUGGCGAACGGGUGAGUAAUACGUGAGUAACCUACCUUUAACUCUGGGAUAAGCCCGGGAAACUGGGUCUAAUACCGGAUACGACCAAUCUCCGCAUGGGGUGUUGGUGGAAAGCGUUAUGUAGUGGUUAUAGAUGGGCUCACGGCCUAUCAGCUUGUUGGUGAGGUAACGGCUCACCAAGGCGACGACGGGUAGCCGGCCUGAGAGGGUGACCGGCCACACUGGGACUGAGACACGGCCCAGACUCCUACGGGAGGCAGCAGUGGGGAAUAUUGCACAAUGGGCGCAAGCCUGAUGCAGCGACGCCGCGUGAGGGAUGACGGCCUUCGGGUUGUAAACCGCUGUUAGCAGGGAAGAAGAGAGAUUGACGGUACCUGCAGAGAAAGCGCCGGCUAACUACGUG
rnacentral:rRNA from 1 species